GCUCAUAGCCUCUGGGGUGCUAUUGCUCCUGGGCCCUCCCAGCGGCUGGAGCAGAAAUGUAUUUGUGGGCUCACCCAUGCGCACACUUCCUGCGUCUGCCUACCUUUGUACUUACUUUUGAAACCAUGAGUUCACGUUGCUGUCAUUCUAAUUGCUUUCUCUGAUCAUGGGAAUCAUGGACUUCCUUCUCUGAGGGUGGCUCUCCAAAGACUGGCGGUCAAUUUCGUGGAAAACUGCUCUUUGGAGGAGCCUUAGGUCCACGCAGCUCACCCUUGGUUUGGACCAGCUUCAUCAGAAUAGCUGCUCCUCUCCCGUUGCCCAAUCCUGUGAUGUCCCAUUUUAAUCAUGGUGCAAAACAGCAAGAAAGUUCCGGGAC